rnacentral:rRNA from 1 species
UACGAAGGGGGCUAGCGUUGUUCGGAAUUACUGGGCGUAAAGCGUAUGUAGGCGGAUCGUUAAGUCGGGGGUGAAAUCCCGAAGGCUCAACCUCGGAACUGCCUUCGAUACUGGCGAUCUUCGAGUCCGGGAGAGGUGAGUGGAACUCCGAGUGUAGAGGUGAAAUUCGUAGAUAUUCGGAAGAACACCAGUGGCGAAGGCG